rnacentral:rRNA from 1 species
GACGAACGCUGGCGGCGUGCUUAACACAUGCCAGUCGAACGGAAAGGCCCUGCUUUUGUGGGGUGCUCGAGUGGCGAACGGGUGAGUAACACGUGAGUAACCUGCCCUUGACUUUGGGAUAACUUCAGGAAACUGGGGCUACUACCGGCUAGGAGCUCCUGCUGCAUGGUGGGGGUUGGAAAGUUUCGGCGGUUGUGGCUGGCCUCGCGGGUUAUCAGCUUGUUGGUGGGGUAUUGGCUUACCAAGGCAUUGACGGGUAGCCGGCCUUGGAGGGUGACCGGCCACAAGGGGACUGAGAUACGGCGCAGACUGCUACGGGAGGCAGCAGUGGGAAAUAUUGCACAAUGGGCGGAAGCGUGAUGCAGCAACGCCGCGGGCGGGAUGACGGCCUGCGAGUGAUAAACCGCUUUCUCCUGUGACGAAGCGUGAGUGACGGUAAUUGGUAAAGAAGCACCGGCUAACUACGUG